UACGGGGGGGGCAAGCGUUGUUCGGAAUUACUGGGCGUAAAGGGCUCGUAGGCGGCCAACUAAGUCAGACGUGAAAUCCCUCGGCUUAACCGGGGAACUGCGUCUGAUACUGGUUGGCUUGAGUUUGGGAGAGGGAUGCGGAAUUCCAGGUGUAGCGGUGAAAUGCGUAGAUAUCUGGAGGAACACCGGUGGCGAAGGCGGCAUCCUGGACCAUUACUGACACUGAGAAGCGAAAGCCAGGGGAGCAAACGGG
rnacentral:rRNA from 1 species